rnacentral:rRNA from 1 species
AACGAACGCUGGCGGCAUGCCUAAUACAUGCAAGUCGAACGAGAUCUUCGGAUCUAGUGGCGAACGGGUGCGUAACGCGUGGGAAUCUGCCCUUGGGUUCGGAAUAACUUCUGGAAACGGAAGCUAAUACCGGAUGAUGACGUAAGUCCAAAGAUUUAUCGCCCAAGGAUGAGCCCGCGUAGGAUUAGGUAGUUGGUGAGGUAAAGGCUCACCAAGCCGACGAUCCUUAGCUGGUCUGAGAGGAUGAUCAGCCACACUGGGACUGAGACACGGCCCAGACUCCUACGGGAGGCAGCAGUAGGGAAUAUUGGACAAUGGGCGAAAGCCUGAUCCAGCAAUGCCGCGUGAGUGAUGAAGGCCUUAGGGUUGUAAAGCUCUUUUACCCGGGAUGAUAAUGACAGUACCGGGAGAAUAAGCUCCGGCUAACUCCGUG